rnacentral:rRNA from 1 species
UGCAAGUCGAGGGGUAUUGGUUUUCGGACCAAGAGACCGGCGCACGGGUGCGUAACGCGUAUGCAAUCUACCUUUUGCAGAGGGAUAGCCCAGAGAAAUUUGGAUUAAUACCUCAUAGUAUAGCGACAUCGCAUGAUGAUGCUAUUAAAGUCACAACGGCAAAAGAUGAGCAUGCGUCCCAUUAGCUAGUUGGUAAGGUAACGGCUUACCAAGGCAACGAUGGGUAGGGGUCCUGAGAGGGAGAUCCCCCACACUGGUACUGAGACACGGACCAGACUCCUACGGGAGGCAGCAGUGAGGAAUAUUGGACAAUGGGCGCAAGCCUGAUCCAGCCAUGCCGCGUGCAGGAUGACGGUCCUAUGGAUUGUAAACUGCUUUUAUACGAGAAGAAACACUCCAACGUGUUGGAGCUUGACGGUAUCGUAAGAAUAAGGAUCGGCUAACUCCGUGCCAGCAGCCGCGGUAAUACGGAGGAUCCAAGCGUUAUCCGGAAUCAUUGGGUUUAAAGGGUCCGUAGGCGGUUUGGUAAGUCAGUGGUGAAAGCCCAUCGCUCAACGGUGGAACGGCCAUUGAUACUGCCAGACUUGAAUUACUGGGAAGUAACUAGAAUAUGUAGUGUAGCGGUGAAAUGCUUAGAGAUUACAUGAAAUACCAAUUGCGAAGGCAGGUUACUACCAGUGGAUUGACGCUGAUGGACGAAAGCGUGGGUAGCGAACAGGAUUAGAUACCCUGGUAGUCCACGCCGUAAACGAUGGAUACUAGCUGUUGGGAGUAAUCUCAGUGGCUAAGCGAAAGUGAUAAGUAUCCCACCUGGGGAGUACGAACGCAAGUUUGAAACUCAAAGGAAUUGACGGGGGCCCGCACAAGCGGUGGAGCAUGUGGUUUAAUUCGAUGAUACGCGAGGAACCUUACCAAGGCUUAAAUGUAGAUUGACCGGUUUGGAAAC